rnacentral:rRNA from 1 species
AGAGUUUGAUCCUGGCUCAGGAUGAACGCUGGCGGCGUGCCUAACACAUGCAAGUCGAGCGAUCUCUUCGGAGAGAGCGGCGGACGGGUGAGUAACGCGUGGGUAACCUGCCCUGUACACACGGAUAACAUACCGAAAGGUAUACUAAUACGGGAUAACAUACGAAAGUCGCAUGGCUUUUGUAUCAAAGCUCCGGCGGUACAGGAUGAACCCGCGUCUGAUUAGCUAGUUGGUAAGGUAAUGGCUUACCAAGGCAACGAUCAGUAGCCGACCUGAGAGGGUGAUCGGCCACACUGGAACUGAGACACGGUCCAGACUCCUACGGGAGGCAGCAGUGGGGAAUAUUGCACAAUGGGCGAAAGCCUGAUGCAGCAACGCCGCGUGAGCGAUGAAGGCCUUCGGGUCGUAAAGCUCUGUCCUCAAGGAAGAUAAUGACGGUACUUGAGGAGGAAGCCCCGGCUAACUACGUGCCAGCAGCCGCGGUAAUACGUAGGGGGCUAGCGUUAUCCGGAAUUACUGGGCGUAAAGGGUGCGUAGGUGGUUUUUUAAGUCAGAAGUGAAAGGCUACGGCUCAACCGUAGUAAGCUUUUGAAACUAGAGAACUUGAGUGCAGGAGAGGAGAGUAGAAUUCCUAGUGUAGCGGUGAAAUGCGUAGAUAUUAGGAGGAAUACCAGUAGCGAAGGCGGCUCUCUGGACUGUAACUGACACUGAGGCACGAAAGCGUGGGGAGCAAACAGGAUUAGAUACCCUGGUAGUCCACGCCGUAAACGAUGAGUACUAGGUGUCGGGAGCUAUAAGUUCUCUGUAGCGCAGCUAACGCAUUAAGCACUCCGCCUGGGGAGUACGACCGCAAGGUUGAAACUCAAAGGAAUUGACGGGGGCCCGCACAAGCGGUGGAGCAUGUGGUUUAAUUCGAAGCAACGCGAAGAACCUUACCAGGUCUUGACAUACUCGUGCUAUCCUUAGAGAUAAGGAGUUCCUUCGGGACACGGGAUACAGGUGGUGCAUGGUUGUCGUCAGCUCGUGUCGUGAGAUGUUGGGUUAAGUCCCGCAACGAGCGCAACCCUUAUUACUAGUUGCCAUCAUUAAGUUGGGCACUCUAGUGAGACUGCCGGUGAUAAACCGGAGGAAGGUGGGGAUGACGUCAAAUCAUCAUGCCCCUUAUGACCUGGGCUACACACGUGCUACAAUGGAUGGUACAACGAGUCGCCAACCCGCGAGGGUACGCUAAUCUCUUAAAACCAUUCUCAGUUCGGAUUGCAGGCUGCAACUUGCCUGCAUGAAGUCGGAAUCGCUAGUAAUCGCGGAUCAGCACGCCGCGGUGAAUACGUUCCCGGGCCUUGCACACACCGCCCGUCA